rnacentral:rRNA from 1 species
AACGUACGCUGGCGGCACGCCUAACACAUGCAAGUCGAACGAAGUAGCAAUACUUAGUGGCAGACGGGUGAGUAACAUGUAGGUAUCUGCCCUUUGGCCUGGAAUAACACGAGGAAACUUGUGCUAAUACCGGAUAAGUCUUUACGGAGAAAGCUUUAUGCACCAUUGGAUGAGCCUGCACUUGAUUAGUUUGUUGGUGGGGUAAUGGCCUACCAAGACUGUGAUCAAUAGCUGAUUUGAGAGGAUGAUCAGCCACAUUGGGACUGAGACACGGCCCAAACUCCUACGGGAGGCAGCAGUGGGGAAUCUUGCACAAUGGAGGAAACUCUGAUGCAGCGAUGCCGCGUGAGUGAAGAAGGCCCUUGGGUUGUAAAGCUCUUUCGUCGGGGAAGAAAAUGACUGUACCCGAAUAAGAAGGUCCGGCUAACUUCGUGCCAGCAGCCGCGGUAAUACGAAGGGACCUAGCGUAGUUCGGAAUUACUGGGCUUAAAGAGUUCGUAGGUGGUUGAAAAAGUUAGUGGUGAAAUCCCAGAGUUUAACUCUGGAACUGCCAUUAAAACUUUUCAGCUAGAGUAUGAUAGAGGAAAGCAGAAUUUCUAGUGUAGAGGUGAAAUUCGUAGAUAUUAGAAAGAAUACCAAUUGCGAAGGCAGCUUUCUGGAUCAUUACUGACACUGAGGAACGAAAGCAUGGGUAGCGAAGAGGAUUAGAUACCCUCGUAGUCCAUGCCGUAAACGAUGUGUGUUAGACGUUGGAAAUUUAUUUUCAGUGUCGCAGGGAAACCGAUAAACACACCGCCUGGGGAGUACGACCGCAAGGUUAAAACUCAAAUGAAUUGACGGGGACCCGCACAAGUAGUGGAGCAUGUGGUUUAAUUCGAAGAUACGCGCAGAACCUUACCAACACUUGACAUGUUCGUCGCGACUCUAAGAGAUUAGAGUUUUCGGUUCGGCCGGACGAAACACAGGUGCUGCAUGGCUGUCGUCAGCUCGUGUCGUGAGAUGUUGGGUUAAGUCCCGCAACGAGCGCAACCCUCACUUUUAGUUGCCAUCAUUAAGUUGGGCACUCUGAAAGAACUGCCAGUGAUAAGCUGGAGGAAGGUGGGGAUGACGUCAAGUCCUCAUGGCCCUUACGUGUUGGGCUACACACGUGCUACAAUGGUAUCUACAACAGGAAGCAAGACUGCGAAGUUAAGCAAAUCCCUAAAAGAUACCUCAGUUCGGAUUGCACUCUGCAACUCGAGUGCAUGAAGCUGGAAUUACUAGUAAUCGUGGAUCAGCGUGCCACGGUGAAUGCGUUCCCGGGUCU